rnacentral:lncRNA from 1 species
AAUUAAUAAGAAAACAUUUAAUUUUAUAUUAUAUUUUUAAUUAAUUGCUUCUUAUUUUAUAAUCAAAAUAACUAACCAAAAAGUAGUAGAUGGGCGACAAGUCGUAUAUCGACGUAGAAGAAAAUGAGAUACCGCUCAAACGGUGAUUGAUUUGACAGAACCGCAAUCAAGGGAACCAUUUUUUGGAUAAGUUUAGAGCAAUAAUAUUCAGAUUGCUAUGUAAAAAGUAUCCUAAUCUUGGAAAACUUUUCCACCUUAUGAAACAUUGGAAAAUCUUCCCAACUUGACGCAUCGACUUGUUGACCUCUCAAUUGCACUUGUGUGUGGCUUCUAUAAAUUUGGCGUCCAGCAUGCUUGUUUUCUGCACCUUUGUAUGUUUUCCAAAAGCUAAGAGUCAUCAAAAGAUCUUUUGAAUUUCAAUAACACUUCGGUUUAACUUUAUUUAUUUGAUUCUGUUUUUGUAAUAUCAAUGGGGUCACCAACCCUCAGUACAGUAGUUCCUUCACUUGUUUUGUUGAUCCUAUUUUUUGUGUUAAGUUUUUUAAUAACUGUUUCUUCAGAAUCUAAUGAAGAAGCUGAUGCUCUUCUCAAAUGGAAAGCCAGCCUUCAAAGCCAUAACCAAUCUCUCCUUCCUUCCUGGACUAACGCCACCACCAAUGUUUCGUCCAAAAUAAGCCCGUGUGCUUGGUAUGGAAUCAGUUGCAAUGACGCUGGAAGAGUCACCAAUAUCAGCCUCAGAAAUACGGGAUUAAGUGGUACGCUUCGUGAUUUGUCAUUCUCAUCGUUUCCUCAACUUGUGCUUCUUGAUCUCAGUCAUAAUGGAUUGUUUGGUACCAUCCCAUCUCAAAUUGGUAACCUUUCGAAACUCAGCUACAUUUCUUUAGAUUCCAAUCAGUUGUCCGGAAAAAUUCCAGCGGAGGUUGGUCUUCUGACUCAUUUGAAGAACCUUGGUUUUCAAUUCAAUCAAUUAGAUGGCUCAAUUCCACCAGAAGUUUGUCAGUUAAGUUCUAUCGAGGAGCUUUUCUUAUACGCUAACCAUUUAAACGGGUCGCUUCCUCCUUUUUUGGGUAACUUGAGCAAUAUCAUUCGAUUGUAUAUUAGUAAUAAUUCACUUUCUGGUUCUAUUCCUAUGAACAUUGGAAAUUUGAAAUUUCUUUCUGAAUUAGAUUUGAGUGAUAAUCAACUUGGUGGUUCAAUUCCUCUUUCUUUUGGUAACUUGAGUAACUUGGCUCGAUUGUACCUUUAUAAUAAUUCACUCAUUGGUUCUAUUCCGUCAAGUUUAGGAAACUUGAAGCUCAUUGAUUUACAGUUGAGCUCUAACCAACUCACUGGUUACAUCCCACAUUCCUUGGGUAAUGUAACAAGUUUAUCAUCUUUAUUUCUAGCCCAAAAUAAGCUUUAUGGUUCUCUUCCUCCCUCCCUUGGGAAUUCCGUGUUAAGAGUGCUAGAAUUGUCUGGAAACCAUUUCACUGGUUAUUUACCCCACAAUAUUUGUCAAGGUGGAGUGCUAGAGAAGUUUCUUGUUUCUGGAAACCAUUUUCAAGGAACAAUCCCUAAAAGCUUGAGAAAUUGCACAAGCUUAUUCCGAGUACGCCUUAAUGGAAACAACCUUACUGGAAAUAUAUCAGAAGCUUUGGGCAAUUAUCCUAACCUGACUUUCAUAGAUCUCAGCCGCAAUAAUUUUUACGGUGAAAUCUCAUCUAACUUUGGGGAAUGCCCAAAAUUAGGCGCUAUCAACGUUUCGAUGAAUAACAUUACUGGAGGUAUACCGCGUGAGAUUGGAAACUCGUCUCAACUACAAGCACUCGAUCUUUCAUUGAAUCAUAUAGUUGGGGAGAUUCCAAAGGAACUUGGGAAGUUAAAUUCUCUAAGCAAGCUCAUUUUGAGAGGGAAUCAACUGACAGGGCGUCUACCUACAGAAAUCGGCUCACUCAUUGAACUUGAAUACCUCGACUUUUCUGCUAAUAGGUUCAACAAUUCAGUCCCAACAAGUCUCGGCAACUUGGUGAAAUUGCACUACCUGGGCUUAAGCAACAACCAGUUUGUCCAAGAAUUGCCAAAGGAAUUGGAGAAGCUAGUUCAACUUUCAGAAUUAGAUGCAAGUCAUAACCUCUUUGGAGGAGAGAUACCAUUUCAAAUAUGC